UACGUAGGGGGGCAAGCGUUGUCCGGAAUCAUUGGGCGUAAAGAGCGCGUAGGCGGCCCAGUCAGUCCGCUGUGAAAGUCAGAGGCUCAACCUCUGGAUGCCGGUGGAUACUGCUGGGCUAGAGUCCGGAAGAGGCGAGUGGAAUUCCUGGUGUAGCGGUGAAAUGCGCAGAUAUCAGGAGGAACACCAAUGGCGAAAGCAGCUCUCUGGGACGGUACUGACGCUGAGACGCGAAAGCGUGGGGAGCGAACAGG
rnacentral:rRNA from 1 species